UCAAGCAUCUGAGAAUUACUCACAAGAACAAUUUUCUUAUUUAAGAAUAUUCUCAGAUAAAUUCACAUUAAAUGGUGAGACUCCUAAGAGGACUUUACAUUCAACACGUUUGACAAUGAAUAUUUUUCAAAAGAAUACAUAUGAUAUAAACAUUGGAAAUGAAAGAAAAACAAGUUUUCCAUUGUGUCUUAAUUAGAAAUUUUAAACCGGUGUGUUGUUAACUGACCUGCCUAUUAGAGAUGUUCCGUUACCAGUAUCGGUAUCGCCUCUGAUACUGCCUAAAACGCUUGUGUCAGGAAGUACUGGUGUUUAUGCACCAAUCUGAUACCAUGUAAUAAAGC